rnacentral:rRNA from 1 species
GCUUACGGUCAUGCCACUUUAAACACUCCCGAUCUCCUAUGAACUCGGAAGCAAAGCAGAGUUGGGUCCGGUUAGUACCGUACUUGGAUGGACGAUCACUUGGGAAUACCAAGUGCUGUGAGCG